ensembl:lncRNA
CGCGUGGGUGGGCAGUGGGGUCUCAAUUUACAGGAAAUACCAUCUUCCCAGGAGAGCUUUCCCACCUCUUGUUCCUCCCAUCCCUUAGGCCGUCCCCCCAACCCCCAGCCUCUCUUACAGACAGGCAGGAAAUUGGAAACAGCUCUUCCGGAGGACCAGAGUCCUCUAGGUGACCCAAAGAGAAUGCCUUCCUUCUUCUGGGGCCUCAGUUUCCUCAUCUGUACGAUGGGAGUAUACCACUCACAGUUAUGCUUCAGCUUACCAAUAAGUCUCCAGCAAGUCAAGUGCCCUCCUUUCAACAUCACGCCUACUCUCAGUGUGACCCCCAGGGCCCCAUCCCCCUUCUGGGCAACUCCAUCUGGUUGAAUCCCUGGUCAGGAGAGAUGCCACAUGCCUCGUGGCAACUAAGCCUGUGAGGCCCUGCUCUGCAAUAAGAGAAGCCACCACCAUCAGAAGCCCGCACACUGCAGCUGGAGGGUAGACCCCUGCUCGCUGCAACUGGACAAAGCUCAGGAGCAACAGCAAAUACCCAGCACGGCCAAAAAUAAAAAAAAAAAAAGAAGAAGAAGAAAUUAAUGGGAAAAAAAAAAUCAGGGAAACCUGGCGUGCUGCAAUCCAUGGGAUCAUCAAGAGUCAGACACGAUUUAGCACCUGAACAAAAACAAGGAAAACAAUAGCCGCUCCCAGCUCAUCGGGUUGUUUAAGGAUUAAAUGAGACAAGGCAUGAAAGAACCUAACAGAGAGCCUGAUCCUAUGCUCAAUAAAUUCUAAAAACAUUCGUAUUAAUUUUCUUGCUUACCCUAACAACAACUGGAAGACAUAGAUGCUGCAUUUCAG